rnacentral:lncRNA from 1 species
AAAGGGAACUAGCUGUCCUGUCAGCAAAGGAAUUUGACCAUUUCCUCUGAUAGCAGAUGGAUUGUUGAAAUGCCUCUGUGUACCAGCCUCCAUUGUCUGUUUAGGAGUCAAACUUUCAGACCAGUUACUGACUCUGCUUGGUGUCAUCAAGGCCAUUCCUGAAAAACCCUGGGUGUACUUCCACACCAAGCACAACGGAAGACCUUUCCCAGAAGAUGCACUGGACCCAGUCACCACAUUUCAGGACAGAGGGUCUCAUAGUGCAGGUAAGGCUGCCUCAUGCCAGCUGAAUGCAGUGCCAGAGAAUGGUAUGGCAAACAUCAACACAGGCUUAAUCUCUCCAGAGACUCUGAGGUCUCUGCAUAGCCUCUAAGCCUCAGCCACCCCACAGGUACUGAUGGAUCUGCCCAUCUCACUUUGUGGCUCCCUCCCUUCAUGAGCAGCAUCCAGGGCAAUCUCUAUCUCCAGUCACAGGGCUUCCAGCGCAGUCAGUAUUUUUUUAAAUUUACCUGCAAAAGUAGUGGACAAAAAUAAGCAAUUGAUGGGUUUUUUUCAUUUAUAUAUAAAAUCAAAGUGGAUAAUGAGUAGUGUGGGUCAAUUCCGUAACAGAGAAUCUCUGUGACGCAUAGUUCAUUUACCCAGAAUAACACUGAGUGUUGAUUAUGCAUAAAUGAGCAUUUUCUCUCAGCUUUGGUAAGCAUUUUGUGAAGAAGAAGAGAAGGAAGAAACAUUGCUGUGUCAGACAUGAUUUGCCUACUGGGAUCAUCUCACCAUAACCAUGAAGAAGCCUAAGGCAUUAAUUGUGCUUAGGUCUGCCAUUACCUCUAUCUACAGCAAUUUGAGAGCUGAGACAUCUGGC